CCUACGGGAGGCAGCAGUGAGGAAUAUUGGUCAAUGGGCUUACGCCUGAACCAGCCAAGUCGCGUGAGGGAAGACUGCCCUAUGGGUUGUAAACCUCUUUUGUCAGGGAGCAAUUGGCGCUACGUGUAGCGUUAUCGAGAGUACCUGAAGAAAAAGCAUCGGCUAACUCCGUGCCAGCAGCCGCGGUAAUACGGAGGAUGCGAGCGUUAUCCGGAUUUAUUGGGUUUAAAGGGUGCGUAGGCGGAAUGCCAAGUCAGCGGUAAAAUCGCGGGGCUCAACCUCGCUCCGCCGUUGAAACUGGCGUGCUUGAGUGGGCGAGAAGUAUGCGGAAUGCGUGGUGUAGCGGUGAAAUGCAUAGAGAUCACGCAGAACUCCGAUUGCGAAGGCAGCAUACCGGCGCCCAACUGACGCUGAAGCACGAAAGCGUGGGUAUCGAACAGGAUUAGAUACCCUUGUAGUC
rnacentral:rRNA from 1 species